GGAGAGACGGAGGCCAGCGCGGGGAGCGGAAGCCGGAGCCUGUCGGGAGCGACCCCGGGAAGGCCAGUCCCUCCUGCCGGAGGGAGGCGUGUUGGCGUGCGGCCGGUGGCGGGAUCGAUGGCCACCUGGUAGGCGAUGCUGCUGCGGCGGAGAGACGGAGGCCAGCGCGGGGAGCGGAAGCCGGAGCCUGUCGGGAGCGACCCCGGGAAGGCCAGUCCCUCCUGCCGGAGGGAGGCGUGUUGGCGUGCGGCCGGUGGCGG
rnacentral:lncRNA from 1 species